rnacentral:lncRNA from 1 species
UUUUCUGACAAAGUCUUUACUUAUUUAUAUUCACUUUUGAAGGAUAAUUUCACUGAAUACAGAAUUCUGUGUUGGGUUUGUUUUUCCUUUCAACCUGUUAAAGAUUUCUCUCCACUCUGUUCUUGCUUGCAUGGUUUCUGAGAAGCCUCAUGUAAUUCUUAUAUUUGUUCCUCUGUAAAGAAGGUAUUUUUCCCCUCUCUAGCUUCAUUCAUGACUUUCUCUUUUUAUUUGGUUUCCUGCAGUUUGAAUAAAUUUCAUAUUCCCACUCUCUGACCCCAAAAGCACUCCCUCCAGGAUCCCCUUAUCCUUCCCUCUGGCCUUAUGGGGACCUCCAGCCUGGCCUUCUUCUCUACUUCUCUGCCAAUCACUCCACUCUUCAAGUCUUUCCUUGCUCAACUUAGAUUCCUCUAGAAGCCACUUGAGCAACUCUCGCUAGUGUCUGCUCCUCUCUUGCUUGCCAAGCCAAACUCCAACCUGGUCAACCCAACUCUCUGCCCAAAGCCUGCUGCUGAGCCCGGCUGGAGGGCAGCCCACCACCAAGGAGGCCCCCACCACGCCUCUUGGGGUCCCUAGAACCUCAUGGGCUCCCACCACAGAAAUUCUUCCAUGUCCCCUGGUCAGUGUUCUUCCUGGUUCCCACGGCAACAGCUACCCUUUAGACUUGCUCACCUUUCUCCACUCUCCUUAAACCUCUGGUCCCAUUACUUCCUCUCCCCCCAGCUAUUCACUUCACAUCUACUUCCCAUACACACUCAUACUAACCCCCAAAUACCUGAAAAAUUCUUUUUACUCUGAAAUGUUUCAAACAUCCAGAAAAGUACAGAUACUGGAAGAGCAAACACCCACGUGUCCUGUACCUAAUGGUGUCAAAUUACCUUCUGACCCCAAACCUGCAAACAUACCUGCCCACCCCAUAGAAGUUAAGGGUCAGACUGCCUGGGAUUAAAUCUUGAAUCCACCACUUACUUAUCCUCUCUGUGCUUCAGUUUCCCCUGCUGUCAAAAGCUGGAAAUGAGAUGCCCACCCCAUAGGGUGGGGGCCGGGGAGUGAAGGAACAUAUGUGCAGAAUGUUUCCCACCGUGCAGGGCACAUAGUGAGUGCUCAGUGAAAGCCAGCUCUUAUCGGUUCAUCCUCCCUCUUGACUCAGCGGAUGAGAGAAUCUGCUGUAAGUUUAACCCCUUGGGCAGAGUUCCAGAUUCUUCCCCUCCCACCUACUCAGGAAUGGCACUCCUGAUUAACACCUCUCUACUGGCUGCUAGAAUUGACAUCAAACAGCCUUGCUCUCUUUUAAAACACACACACACCCCUCUCAAUAUGCCAGAUACCCUCCAGCUACCGCCCUCUCUGCUCCCUACUGCCUUUCAUAGCCAAACUUCAGGACAGAAUUGCCUGCACUUGUCCUUCCAUUUCCUCCCCUCCCACUCACCCCUCAGUGGCUGUAAACAGCCUUUCAGCUUCCCCUCCACCAAACCUGCUCUUCCUGAUAGCACUGAGACGUCAUCCAGGGGGCAUAUCUCAGUUCUCAUCCUUUGCGGACCACACGUCCACAGCAGGAUUUGACCUCGUUGACCGCUCCCUCCUCCUUGAAAUGCUCUCCCAGCCCCCCUCACCUCAGGGCCACCUCCCUCUGCAUUGCCUCACACCUCUCUGACCCCGGUCUCACAGGUGUUGCCCUGGGGCCCUCCUUGGCCCUCUCUUCUCUCCCUCUCUUCUUGAACCAUCUUACCCACGCCUGUGGCUUCACUUAACACAAGAUGCCAAUAUCCCCAAUUUACGUCUCCAAUUCCAGCUUCUUUAUUGACUUUUCAGAUCCAUGUAGCAAUUGCCUGCUGGACAGCUCCUCCUAGAUGUCUCAAAGACACUCAAAUUUGACAUGAUCAAAAUGGAGCCAAUGGCACAACCACUUUGGAGAACUAUUCGGUGGCAUCUUCUAAAGCUGAACAUAUGCACACCCCGUAUACUUCCACGUAUUUAAAAGUCAACAAUAUCCAAAACUGCACAGUGGUGCGAGGAGUUAAGACAGUGCUCACCCUUGGGGAGUAGUAACUGGAAGGGAGGAUGAGGGGGCUUCUCAGUGCUGGUGAUGUUGUUUCUCAACCUGCUUCUCACCUGGGUGCUAGUUACACAGCUGUGUUUGGCUUGUGCAAAUUCAUUGAUUAUGAUUUACGCACUUUUCUGCCCAUAUGUUAUACUCCAAUGAAAAAUUAAAACAAAACAAAACAGGACGCAUCCUCUUCCCCAUCAAGUGCCCCCUCUCCCUGGUGUUCUUUCUCUCUCAGAGAAUAGUCUCAACUUCCCACUCAGUUGCCCAAGUCAGAAGCUUGGGGGUAUUUCCCCACUGGGCUCCUUUCCUUAUCACUCACAUCCAAUCUAUUCCCAAAUGCUAUCACUCCGACCUCCUUACUAUCUCUCAAGUCCACUCACUUCUCUCCACCCUCGCUGACUCUUCUCAACCCAGACCCAAUUCCUCUCUUGCUUGGACUUCUUCAGUAGCCUCCCAGCCUCCAAUCUUGUCCGCUCUGAUUCAUCCCCACACAGCAGCCAGAGGGACCCUUCUAGAAUGAAAAUCCACUCACGUCUCUCCCCUGAUUAAAAUCUUUCAGGGGUUCCCUAUAGCCUCUAGAUAAAGUUCAUUCUCCUGCUUUGGGGUUCCAGGGGCUCUGUGUUCUGGGUCCCACCCAGACUCCACUCCUUCUUUACCCUUAGCCACCCCUCCCCCAGUGCUUUGCCCCAGGCAGUCCUAUGAGCCACAGCUGGGAACCCCCUCCUUCCCCUCAUCCCUGCCUUUCCUGGCCAAGACCCACACAUCCUUCAGGCCUCAGCUCAGAUAUCCUCCUGCUUCUGUGAUGGGUCCAGGCCUCCUUGGGCUGUCACAGCAGCAUGUGCUGCCCCAUCCUAAUACACAUCACACCAUAGUGAAACAGGCUGCUUAGAUGUCCACUUCCCCACUGGACCUCGGGCUCCAUGGUGGAAGGCAUGCUGCCUGUCUUGUUCAUCACUCCAUCCCAAGCACCUAGUAUAGGAGAGGCUCAGGAAAGAUUUUUUGGAUGGAUGAAGGACUGCAGAAGCUGUCCAGGCUGCAAAGUGCUGGACGCCCGGGAUUUGUCUCCAAGAGAGCUGGCGAGAAGGUAGAGGGGAGUUCCCCUCAAGGGACCAGAGUCCUAGAAUUUAGAAUCCCAGAACAUCAGAGCUUGAAGGGACAUCAGAGGCCAGCUAAUAAUCCACUUUCUGAUUUACAAAUGAGAAACCUAAGGGAAGGAGCCACUGGCUGGACAAGGAUGGGUGGGAGGAGGAAGAGAUGGUAGCUGCAGAGUAAGUGAUGAUGAAAAGUGAAUAUUUAGUGCUGAUAGGGCUCCUAAAAUAAUACAGAUAAUAUUCCUUCUGGGUAUGAUGGCCCCGCCCCUGCACUUGGCCCACUUCCCAGGUCUCCCCAGUGGAGCUGGACGCUGGCCUCCUUACAUUGACCACUAGAUGGCGUCAGUUCCCCAGGCAACGGGGAAAGCAAAUGCUCCCGGCUCACCCUGUGGUUCCAGCCUCCUUCCCAGUUCCUCCCCUCAGACCCAGCGCUCUGUGAGCCCAGUGGCUGUGGCCGUGCUCAGCUGGCAUGAUACUCGGGCUCCAGGGAACAGCUUGCUUCAACAGGGUGCCUUUUCUCCUGCCAGGAGAGGGUGAGCAAUGGACUGUGACCUGGUCAUUGGCCAGCACUGCCAGCCUCCCAGAGGCUCUUGACAUUCUGGCCUGCAUCACCCCUCCACCCCGGGGCCGGCUCUGGCCAGGCUGACACCUGCUCAUCUUGUUGGCCCAGGCAAGGUGCAGUGGGUGGCACUGGUCCCAUUGCAUCCUCCAGCAACCUCACCACCCUGAGCCAGCAGUGGCUCCAGUCCUGCUGGCCUGACGGGCCCCUCUGAGGCGACUCAUGGCCCCAUCUGGAAAGCUGCUCCUGCUCCCACCCUGGAGUGGGACACCUCGAUGCUGGCGCCUGCUCCAUGCCUCUCCUUUUCCUAAUCCUGCAAGCGUGCUCAGCCAAGAUGAUCCAGCCCUUCUCCAGUAUUACAGAGUCUCAUUUAUUCAUUCAACAAACAUCUAGAGCCUGCAGGUUGCGGUGCCGGUGAGGAGGGACAGGAGUGAGGCUUCUGUGAGGACCUCAGGAGGAAGACCGACUCUCUGCCAUCUCUCAAUCUCUCGGCCCUUCUGGGUCUAGGUUGAUGAAUGAAUAAACGAACCUCUGAGAAGGGGCUUGCCCGACGCUGUCCCUUCUCUGUGGAGAGCUGGGGACUCCAAAGCAGGCCCUGCUGGUCUCUCCCGCUCCCAUCCUGGGAGGGGGAGCUGGCCCGCCCAGUGCCCUUCCUGCCCCCAAUGCCGCGGGCUCCCUAGGCGCCCUCUUGGCAACAGAACAGAGGGCAUCCAGAGCGGGUGGCAACUCGCCCCGCCAUGGGCUCGGAGCGGCGAGCGAUAGGCGCUGGGGGGACGCGGAGAUAGACAGACAGAUAGCGCUCCCCUCGCCCGGCCCCCGCCCCCACCUUUCCCACACCUCGCCUCCCCGGAGCCGCUCAGACUUGGCGGGCACUCCUGCCCCUCGGCCUGCUAACCGUGGCCCUCUGUCUCCACCACCUGCAGCUCUCAAAGCCCUUGGAGUCGCUGGAAGCCUGCACCGGGGAUCUGACUUUGGAAAGGGGCACAGAGCCCCCAGCACACUUGUCUCCCUGACAGAGUCCACGAAGGCGACCCCCCCUCCGCCCCCGCCCUCGACCCCGCUCAGUGCUUGGCGAGACUUGGGGAGGCCGCAGAGCCCAAGAGUGACCACAAGGUGGCGCGCUGGCACUGCGUGUCCCGGGACGCCAGGCAGGGGAAGCGGACAGGAGGAGAAUUGACGCGGCAGCCUGUAUGAAGGUUGUAUGCAGCUAGGAACUGAGAUUUGAAGGAGCUCCCCGAUCCCCAGGGAAAAGGCGGAGAGCAGAAUUGGUGGUAGAAGGGUGAAAUGGGCUAGACGUUGGGAACAACUUGAAUGACCCAGAAGCCUGGCCUUGUGAGCCAGACAGGAUUAGGAGCUGGGGGUCCCCAGCAAGGGAAACCUCUUCUUCAGGGCCUUCUUGGGGAGACAGGGUUCAAUGGCGCAUCAUGGUUCCCAGCUACUGGAGAUUGGGAAGGUCCUGAGAGUUUUACACACAUCUGCAUACAACUACCCAUUCACACACAGACACACCAUCCCACGGCCCUCCGCUCACACUGCUUACACACCCACAUACACUGCUGCACUCUCACACAUGCAUUCCUGCACUCAGGUACAUCUCUGUAUACUGUGCAACACAGGAAAUCCUCACAUCACACACCCUAGCACACCUGUCCCAUAUACCUGAUCUUUAAAAACGCCCACAAUCCCCCAGUGCUGUCCCCAAAGCACAGACUCUGCCCCAAACUUACUGAAGCACACAGUCAGAGAGCCAGGCUGUAUCCCAUCCAACCCCAUGGGGACCCCAGGUCCCCUGCACCGUCCAGCAAGCCUGGGCCAUCUCUGAAACUGCACACACAUAGUUACAGAAACAACUCCAAUAUCACCACCCGCAGGCAGUGCAACCCUACCCUCCCCAGAAGCCCGGAAAUCCACACAUAUCUGCCCCCCCCCAGCCCCCUCCAACAGGACUCUCCCUGGACCCAGUUAUGACUUUCAUAAGCCCAAGGCACUUCUGCCUGAUGGGCCCCCUCCUCUAUUAAAAAAAAAAAAUUUAAAUUACAUUUUAUGAGUGCAUUGAGG